GGAGGCGUGGCAGAGCGGUUAUUGCACCGAUCUGUAAAAUCGGAAGACUUUGAAUGGGUCUCGCGGGUUCGAAUCCCUCCGCCUCCG
rnacentral:tRNA from 1 species